rnacentral:ncRNA from 1 species
AGAGCAUUUAAAAUCUUUUUUUGGGGUAGAGCACUCAUUGAGCUAGGGGGCGUAAAAACUUACUGAACUCUUAGAAACUCCGAAUACAAAAAAAAGUUAUUUAAAUAGACAGACAUUAGGCGCUAAGGUCUAUUGUCAAGAGGGAAACAGCCCAGAUUGAUCGCUAAGGUCUCUAAAUAAUAUUCUAAGUGAAAAAGGAAGUGAAAAAAUAAUUACAACCAGUAGGUAGGCUUGGAAGCAGCCAUCCUUUAAAGAAAGCGUAAUAGCUCAUUGGUCUAGUUUUUUUGCGCCUAAAAUGUAUCGAGACUUAAGAAAUUUACCGAAGCGGCAAGUUUUAUUUAUAAUAAAACGGUAGCGGAACAUUCUGUAUGUUGAUAAAGAUAUGUUGUAAAAUAUAUUGAAGAUAUCAGAAAAGAAAAUGCUGGCAUUAGUAACAAAAAAUAAUGAAUAAGAAUCAUUAUCACCGUAAAUCCAAGGGUUUCUAUGUUAAAAUGUAUUUCAUAGAGUGAAACGGCCCCUAAGAAAGAUUUGACGAAAGCAAAUUUUGAUGGGAUAAUUUUUAAAUUAAAUUUUUUAAAAAAAGUGACAAAAAGUUUUACUUUUUACUAGGAAAUAGCUUUUUUUAAAAAAAACCGUACCCUAAACCGACACAGGUGGAUAGGUCGAGUAGACUAAGGUGGAUGAGAGAAUUAUAUUGAAGGAACUCGGCAAAAUGACUCUGUAACUUCGGGAUAAAGAGUACCUAAAUAUUAUAUUUAGGUGUCACAAAAUAGGGGGUUGCGACUGUUUAAUAAAAACUUAGGACUCUGCUAAAUGGUAACAUGAUGUAUAGGGUCUGACACCUGCCCGGUGCUGGAAGAUUAAUAGGAGAUGUUUGCGCAUUGAAUGGAAGUCCCAGUAAACGGCGGCCGUAACUCUGACGGUCCUAAGGUAGCGAAAUUCCUUGUCGGGUAAGUUCCGACCUGCAUGAAUGGUGUAACGACAUCCCCGCUGUCUCCAAUAUAAACUCAGUGAAUUUGAAUUAUCCGUGAAGAUGCGGAUUCUCUAUAGUUAGACGGAAAGACCCCGUGAACCUUUACUACAUCUUUAUAUUGUUAUUUUAUCUAAUAUGUGUAGCAUAAGUGGGAAUCAAUAAGACCUUCACGCUAGUGAAUUGUUUAGAUAACAUUGAAAUACCACUCUUAUUAAAAUAAAUAACUAAUAUUUUUAUAAAUAGACAGUGUAUGGUUGGUAGUUUGACUGGGGCGGUCACCUCCUAAAGAGUAACGGAGGUGUACAAAGGUAAGCUCAAAUUGGAUUAUAUUAUCAAUUGUAGAGCGCAAUGGUAUAAGCUUGCUUGACUGUAAGAUAGACAUAUCAAACAGGGACGAAAGUCGGUCAUAGUGAUCCGAUAAUUCUUUGUGGAAAGAUUAUCGCUCAACGGAUA